UACGAAGGGGGCGAGCGUUGUUCGGAUUUACUGGGCGUAAAGGGCGCGCAGGCGGCUCAUUUUGUCAGGCGUGAAAGCCCCGGGCUCAACCCGGGAGGGUCGCGGCGAACUGGGAGGCUUGAGGCCGGUAGAGGUGGGUGGAACUCCUGGUGGAGUGGUGAAAUGCGUAGAGAUCAGGAAGAACACCCGUGGCGAAGGCGGCCCACUGGGCCGGUGCUGACGCUGAGGCGCGAAGGCGUGGGGAGCGAACGGG
rnacentral:rRNA from 1 species